rnacentral:lncRNA from 1 species
GCAGGAACUGCGGCUAGCGCGACCUCCUCCUGGGGGUGCGCAGGAACUGCGGCUAGCGCGACCUCCUCCUGGGGGUGCGCAGGAACUGCGACUGGCGCGACCUCCUCCUGGAGGUGCGCAGGAACUGCAGGUGCUGCCUCCUCCUGGAGGCCGGCGGGCGCUGCGGCUCCAAGGGUGACGGGGACUGGAACGACCGCUACAGGGCCGACGGGAACGGGGUCAGAGACAGGGGUGACCUCUACUUGGCCUACGGGAACGCCCUCUACUUGGCCUACGGGAACGCCCUCUACUUGGCCUACGGGAACGCCCUCUACUUGGCCUACGGGAACGCCCUCUACUUGGCCUACGGGAACGCCCUCUACUUGGCCUACGGGAACGCCCUCUACUUGGCCUACGGGAACGCCCUCUACUUGGCCUACGGGAACGCCCUCUACUUGGUCGACAGGGACAGGAGCUGGAACGACCUCAACUUGGUCGACAGGGACAGGAACUGGAACGACCUCAACUUGGUCGACAGGGACAGGAACUGGAACGACCUCAACUUGGUCGACAGGGACAGGAACUGGAACGACCUCAACUUGGUCGACAGGGACAGGAACUGGAACGACCUCAACUUGGUCGACAGGGACAGGAACUGGAACGACCUCAACUUGGUCGACAGGGACAGGAACUGGAACGACCUCAACUUGGUCGACAGGGACAGGAACUGGAACGACCUCAACAUGGCCGACAGGAACAGGAACUGGAACGACCUCAACUUGGUCGACAGGGACAGGAACUGGAACGACCUCAACAUGGCCGACAGGAACAGGAACUGGAACGACCUCAACUUGGUCGACAAGAACUGGAACGACCUCAACAUGGCCGACAGGAACUGGAACGACCUCAACAUGGCCGACAGGAACUGGAACGACCUCAACAUGGCCGACAGGAACUGGAACGACCUCAACAUGGCCGACAGGAACUGGAACGACCGCAACAUGGCCGACAGGAACUGGAACGGCCUCUGCUUGGCCGACAGGAACUAGAACGGCGUCCUCCUCUGAGGAGCCGACAGGAACUGGAACUAGAACGGCCUCAAUAUGGCCGACGGGAACAGGAACGGCGUCCUCCUCUGAGGAGCCGACAGGAACUAGAACGGCGUCCUCCUCUGAGGAGCCGACAGGAACUAGAACGGCCGCAACAUGGCCGACAGGGACUGGAACGGCCGCAACAUGGCCGACAGGGACUGGAACGGCCGCAACAUGGCCGACAGGGACUGGAACGGCGUCAACUCCGGAGCUGGCAUGA